UGCCAGCCGCCGCGGUAAUACGGAGGGUGCAAGCGUUGUUCGGAAUUAUUGGGCGUAAAGCGCGUGUAGGCGGUUCGUUAAGUCUGAUGUGAAAUCCCAGGGCUCAACCCUGGAACUGCCUCAUAAACUCCUGGUCUAGAGUUCGAGAGAGGUGAGUGGAAUUCCGAGUGUAGAGGUGAAAUUCGUAGAUAUUCGGAGGAACACCAGUGGCGAAGGCGGCUCACUGGACCGGAACUGACGCUGAUGCACGAAAGCGUGGGUAGCAAACAGGAUUAGAUA
rnacentral:rRNA from 1 species